UAAACGACCGUGUUCAGGUCGCCGCGUAUUUGUCUGAAUCCCACGGCCGACAUCUCUAAUAGAAUCAACUCAAUGUUAUUGGAGCCUUCGAGGCGUCAAUACAGUUUGAUUGACAGAUCCUGCAGCGGCUCCCAUGACACUGGGAGAGUCUUGUUGCAGACUUCAGCUGUACGACUCGGCUCCCUCUGGUUUUUGUCUCGAUUUCCGGGUCUCGAAGUGACCGGCUGUGUGACAGAAGGACACAAUGGGAUCCAAAACGCACAAUGUCUAAGAUACGACAUUCAGCAGACGAAGCGUCUGCUCGUGGGCAUCGGUGAAGCAACACCGCGGCACGCAGCGUCGUCUUCUUCUUCUUCUUCUCCAGGCAGGAAAAAGGCAAAUAAACUUGUAUUAACUCCAGAAUUUAUUGUAUUAAUUGAAGGGAUUUUUCCACAUUACGGGUGCUAUUACUGAGAGCAAUACGGUUUCCUUGGAAUGGAAUAAACGAGUUGGGGAAGUCUUCCACUUUGCAGGUACACACCAUGCAUCCCAAUUAUGGCAGAAUAAAGCUAAAUGAAAUUUCCAUCUCCAUUCAGGAAUAUGAAUGUGCAAUUUUAUGAGGGUGAAAAUGUGCCAAAGAGGUAAGCACCUUGCCAGCACCGUGAAAAACGACGCCAAUUAAAGCGUAACUUGCUUGUUUUCUCAUAACAUACAUGUUUUCAUAACUCUGAAAUCAAAUAAUUGCUCCUCUUUGUAUCGCGCACAAUAAAAGUGAAAAUAUGGCGGCUGGAGGAUGCUCCUGAAUAUUUUAGUGCACACGCUUAACAACAAGAAGAAGGAAUAGCAGAAAACGUGGCAAAGUGAGACGCGGAUGCGAGGUUCCUUCAAGAAAUUAAGACUCCUCAGCUGUUUAUCCUUCAAGCCUGGAAAGUGCACAUGAUUUCAUUUUUGUGAUUAUGUGCCAAAAGCGGCACACUGGUCUCUCACAGAUUAUAUGAAAACAGUGUGUUUAUUUCUGAAAACAAGUGUUUGUUUUGCCCGAAGCGGCAACUUGGUCCAGCAGGUUUCCAGCAGCCUGCAGACUGCGACCAAUCAGCCGCCUUCUUUGACCCGCACUCAAUUCAACUCAUAGCUUAUUGUAAUUAUCGCUGCACUGAAGUACAAAUGGUGUUUUAUUACUUCAGUAGCUGUUUAUAUUACUCCACCCCGAACACACACACACACACACACACGCACACACACACACACACACGCUAGACUGAUGUUAAUCAAUUUGGAGAACUGCCCGGAUUGUUUAAACUGUCAUCACCACCCAUCAGUCUACUGCACUCUCACAGGAAUCUGAAUAUCUCUCGGGGAGGGCGUUCUUCCAAUACUCACACACACGCACGCACACACACACACACACACACACGGCCUGGGAUGAUCACUUCGCAUCCUCCACUUAAGACCGUUCCGUCAUUAUUUUUCCACAUGAGCUGAUCGAUGCAUACAUGCAGAGUGGAUUAUCACCAUUGUUUAACGUUUGCAGCCCUUUAAUGGAGGAGGUGGAACUGAGAGGCGGCGAUGUGACCUCCUCUACUGCGGGAGGACCAUGAGCUCCGCUCCACACGUUCCCAUGAGGCUACGAGGCUACGGGGCUCCGGCACCUUAGACUCACCGACAACAACCCGAGUCGCCGGAUCCACUGACUGAUGCUCCUGUCAGUUGAAGAGCGCUGCGAGGGGCCGAGGAUGCAUGCGAGGGUCUAAUGAGAAACACCGCGGAUUCUGGAGGUCCUGAAGAGAAGCCCGCGGAGGGUUGGAGGAAUGGUAAACAGGAAGUGCCUCGGCGAGGUGGACUCGGACCCUGUGACGCGCGGCGGGCUGCGUCUCAUUCCAGCCCGGGCCGCGGCUACAGCUCGCGGUUCGGUCCUCCUCGUGCAACUGGGCGUUAAUAAAAAAAAAAACGAGCACAACAAAAGCCGCCAUCCGCCAUCGGAGGCCCGGCUUAUCGCCGGAGCUCUUUGUCUGCACGCCGCUUCAGCCGCCGCCGCGGAAAAAUUGCUUUAAUGACAAGAUUUCAGCUGCCCGAAUGAGAAACAAAUAAAAGGAAAAAAAAGCAAAGCAGAGACAAGGAUCUUUUUGAAGCGCACAAUGGGAGUGGGUGUGAUUCGUGUCACUUCUAUCUGGGCUUCUGAUGAUCUCCGGCGCCGCGCUUCUCUUUUCUUCUCGCUCCUUUCAAGCUGUUUGGUCUCGCUUUUCCCCGGCGAUUCCACAGAAGUGUGCUGCAGUUAACGCAAAUCUUGCCCCGGCUGUAUAAAUUAUUCAUUUCAUCGGCGGCGGCGGCGCUCGUCGUGUGAUCGCCGACCUCGCCGGGGCGCGGGCGCGGGCCGGAGCGGGGAUCCACCCUCCCUAAUCACCAGCGUAAUUGCUCAGGCAUCUUCUUACCGCCGGAGAGGGAGGAGGCUCUCGCGCCGGAGCUCUGCAGCCAGAAAUGAGUGCCAUGUGGAGAGAGAGACUUUACCCGACCACAGCAGAGAAUUUGAGGUGGCGCCGUGACGCCUGGAGCCCGCCGCUGUGCCCCCGGGCUGCCAAAACGACCACGAUUCAAGUGUUAGAUUUUGUUAGAUUUAAGAGCGCUGUGCUCGUAAGCCUCUCCUCCUCCUCCUCCUCCUCCUCCUCCUCCUCUCCUCUGAUCCUGGCACAGAUUUAUAUCUAGGAAAUGUUGAUGACAACUUUCUGAUGUAUAACAGGGUGAAUAAAUGCUGUGGGAACUGAA